rnacentral:rRNA from 1 species
AAUUUUGGACAAUGGGGGAAACCCUGAUCCAGCCAUCCCGCGUGUAUGAUGAAGGCCUCCGGGUUGUAAAGUACUUUUGGCAGAGAAGAAAAGGUAUCCCGGAUUACGGGAUACUGCUGACGGUAUCGGAAGACAAAGCACCGGCUAACGACGUGCCAGCAGCCCAGGUAAUACGUAGGGGGCACGCGUUAAUCGGAAUUACUGGGCGUAAAGCGUGUGUAGGCGGUUCGGAAAGAAAGAUGUGAAAUCCCAGGGCUCAACCUUGGAACUGCAUUUUUAACUGCCGAGCUAGAGUAUGUCAGAGGGGGGUAGAAUUCCACGUGUAGCAGUGAAAUGCGUAGAUAUGUGGAGGAAUACCGAUGGCGAAGGCAGCCCCCUGGGAUAAUACUGACGCUCAGACACGAAAGCGUGGGGAGCAAACAGG